GAUGAACGCUGGCGGCGUGCCUAAUACAUGCAAGUCGAGCGAACAGACGAGGAGCUUGCUCCUUUGACGUUAGCGGCGGACGGGUGAGUAACACGUGGAUAACCUACCUAUAAGACUGGGAUAACUUCGGGAAACCGGAGCUAAUACCGGAUAACAUGUUGAACCGCAUGGUUCAACAGUGAAAGACGGUCUUGCUGUCACUUAUAGAUGGAUCCGCGCCGCAUUAGCUAGUUGGUAAGGUAACGGCUUACCAAGGCAACGAUGCGUAGCCGACCUGAGAGAGUGAUCGGCCACACUGGAACUGAGACACGGUCCAGACUCCUACGGGAGGCAGCAGUAGGGAAUCUUCCGCAAUGGGCGAAAGCCUGACGGAGCAACGCCGCGUGAGUGAAGAAGGUCUUCGGAUCGUAAAACUCUGUUAUUAGGGAAGAACAAAUGUGUAAGUAACUAUGCACGUCUUGACGGUACCUAAUCAGAAAGCCACGGCUAACUACGUG
rnacentral:rRNA from 1 species